UACAGAGGUCCCGAGCGUUGUUCGGAUUUACUGGGCGUAAAGGGCGCGUAGGCGGACAGUUAAGUCAGAGGUGAAAGCCCAGGGCUCAACCCUGGAAUUGCCUUUGAUACUGGCUGUCUUGAGUGCGGGAGAGGUGUGUGGAACUCCGAGUGUAGAGGUGAAAUUCGUAGAUAUUCGGAAGAACACCAGUGGCGAAGGCGACACACUGGCCCGUAACUGACGCUGAGGCGCGAAAGCGUGGGGAGCAAACAGG
rnacentral:rRNA from 1 species